GACGAACGCUGGCGGCGUGCUUAACACAUGCAAGUCGAACGGUAAGGCCCUUCGGGGUACACGAGUGGCGAACGGGUGAGUAACACGUGGGUGAUCUGCCCUGCACCUCGGGAUAAGCCUGGGAAACUGGGUCUAAUACCGGAUAGGACCACUGCCUGCAUGGGUGGUGGUGGAAAGCUUUUGCGGUGUGGGAUGGGCCCGCGGCGUAUCAGCUUGUUGGUGGGGUGAUGGCCUACCAAGGCGACGACGGGUAGCCGGCCUGAGAGGGUGACCGGCCACACUGGGACUGAGAUACGGCCCAGACUCCUACGGGAGGCAGCAGUGGGGAAUAUUGCACAAUGGGCGCAAGCCUGAUGCAGCGACGCCGCGUGAGGGAUGACGGCCUUCGGGUUGUAAACCUCUUUCAGCACCGACGAAGCGCAAGUGACGGUAGGUGCAGAAGAAGGACCGGCCAACUACGUGCCAGCAGCCGCCGUAA
rnacentral:rRNA from 1 species